rnacentral:rRNA from 1 species
UUUGGUAAUUGUGGGAAAGCCGCCGCGGUAAUACGUAUGGGGCAAGCGUUAUCCGGAUUUACUGGGUGUAAAGGGAGCGUAGGCGGCAUGGCAAGUCAGAAGUGAAAGCCUGGGGCUCAACCCCGGAAUUGCUUUUGAAACUGUCAGGCUAGAGUGUCGGAGGGGUAAGCGGAAUUCCUAGUGUAGCGGUGAAAUGCGUAGAUAUUAGGAGGAACACCGGUGGCGAAGGCGGCUUACUGGACGAUUACUGACGCUGAGGCUCGAAAGCGUGGGGAGCAAACAGG